rnacentral:lncRNA from 1 species
AAUUAUAAAAGAAAACUUUCUGAAGACAAAGAGAAGAGAGAAAGCAAGCAAGAAAAGACUCACUACAAAAGCUCUCAAAAAUUCCAGAACAACCUUUUCAUUUAUAACUUAUCUUUUAAACAUUGUAAAAAGAUUUUCAGUUGUUGGUUCUUUAAGCGUUUUUAAAGUUUGAUUCGAAGUAAGCUUGGAAGUUUUUCGGGUUUCCCGAAAGGGAAACUUCACUCAGUUCUAAUUAUGUAAGUAUUCAUAUCUAAGUUUCUGUUAAACUUCCCCUAUAUGUAAAUUAUGUGUGUUUAAAAUUAUUGUUAUAUAAAUAUGUGUUAACUAUUUUUUUAAGUUCAUGUAAAGAUAUAAAUAUUAUUAUGAAUCUAUUUUAUCUAGUAUAUGGUUAGUCUCUUAGCCUCUUAUGAAUAUCGAUGGAUUAACCUGUAAAUUCCUAGGACUAUGUCAGGUUAAAUGUUCUAAGAAGAACGAUGAAUAACCAAUUCCGGGGUGGGGUUAAAGAAGAUCAUUCGUAAGAACAAAAGGCUAAGGGAAAGAGAUGAAAGGUAUAGUAGAUUCGUAGUUAAAAAAAAAGUAUAAAUUUUAAGGGAAGUUGAAACUAGAAACUAGAGUGAUUAUUACUUAAUAGAACAAACGAGUGAAGGAGUACUCAGUAGGAUUUUACAACUAAAAGAAACAAACAAAACAAAAAUAUUGAAAUAUUAUCGAAACAUUAUUAUCGAAAUAACAGCCCUAUUUUAUUAUCGAAAUAUUAUUAUCGAAAUAACAAUAACUAAUAUGUGUAUAAGUUAUUUAUAUAUUAUUUUAUAUAAUAAAAGGUGAAAUAAUUGAUAAAAAAUUCCCACAUAACUAAAAAGAGAAGAACAAUUAGGAAAAAAAGAUUAAAAAAAUUAUAAAUGAGGUCCAAAUAAUGCAAACGAAAUAUUAUAAUUAUUAGAUUUAGGAGUGGGGUAAUAGGAAAAUGACUACACUAAUUGUCCAUGGACUUUAAUUACGUCAAGUAGAUCUAUAUCAUUGCAUUUUGAAACUUCAAAAAACUAGGUUUAGGCUUAAUUCAAAAUCUAUUAAUCCAUAUCUUUUUAAAGAUUACUCACAACUAAUUUAAUUUGUUGAUCCAAUAGUAUAGUAUUAAAAAAAGGGAUAAGGCCCAAGUACCCCCUCAACCUAUGCCCGAAAUCUCAGAGACACACUUAUACUAUACUAAGGUCCUAUUACCCCCGUGAACUUAUUUUAUUAAUAAUUUUUUACCCCUUUUCGACCUACGUGGCACUAUCUUGUGGGUCCAACGAUGGUUGACUUUUUUUUUCAAACUAGUGCCACGUAGGCUAAAAAGGGGUAGAAAAUUACUUAUAAAAUAAGUUCAGAGGGAUAAUAGGACCUUAGUAUAGUAUAAGUGUGUCUCUGGAAUUUCGGGCAUAGGUUGAGGGGGUACUUGUUCAUUAUCCCUUAAAAAAACAAACAAAUCUAGCAGGAUUUUUGAAAAAAAUAUAUUCUUUGAAAAAUAAAUCAAUAAUUAAUCAUUUACUUCUCACGUUAUAAAUAGUCAGCAUAUUAUGGAUAUCUAAAAAGGGGGAUAUUGUAGUUGAAGUAUUUUAUUAUAUUCCAUUAAUUAAGUAAUUAACUCCUCAUGGAGUUGUGUAAUGACACUUUCUUCAAAAAUAAGUAAAAGAAAAUACUAUUAACAAUAAUUAUAGUGAAGGGAAAUAUUGAAAAUAAAAUAAAAUAAACUUUAAUUGAGUCAAAAACACAUCAAUGUCAUGAAGUUGAAACAAAGAAUCUAAAUGAUGAGUCAGUAUUGUGUAAUUCUCCACCGCCCUGUUUUUGUUUCUAUUGGGGUUAUUAAUUUUUUCAAAAGAAGAAAAUAUUUAUAUAUGAAUUUCAAAUUUAAUAUUUUUAUACAAAUUUUGAUUAAGUUUUAUAUAUAAAAAAUAUUAAAUUCGAUUAAACUUAUAAAAUAUAACAUACAAUAGCUUAUUUGGAUAAAUUAAUAAAUUAAUUAAACUAGUUAGCUUAUUAUAAUUUUUUUUGGUUUUAUUCGUCAAGUGCUUAUAAAUUAUAAUCAGUCAUAAGCUAAUUACUCCGACUCAUGAUUUUAUAAUUACAAAUUUUUAAUUCUAUUAUCCUUUGUAAUCUUCAAAAAAUACUCUUCAUAUAAUAUACUAACUUUUAAUUAUUUUUCUAUUUUAUUUCCAUCCUUUGUUUUUCUUAAUAUAAAAACACUUUAAAUUUAUAUAUUUAAUAAAUAUAUUUAAAGACAUCAUUAAAAUAUAAUAAGUAUUUAUUAAAAUACUCUUAUCAGACACACAAGACAUGACUAACUUAUCAUAAAGUUCAACAAAUUCACGUAAUUGUAUAAUUAUUUAUUUUUAAAAUUAUUUUAACUUCUUAAAUAUUUUUAAUCAGCUAAUUCAAACGAUCUAUUAAUAGAGUCCUAAUUAACCGUCGUUUUAAUUUAUUGUAACUAUCAAGAAAAUGAAAAACAUGUGUAAUGUUGGAUUAUAAAAAAUUAUUAAAAGAGACUUUGACUAUGACGUGGUGAUUAAUACCCUCCCAAUAUUUUGGCAUUAAAAUUAAUUAUUAUCCAAGGGAAAAAAAAUACGAAUUAAACAUCCAUAUUCAUAAUGCAUGCAUGAAAAAAUAAUAAUCAAAGAUUAAGUGCUUUACGUAAUUUGCAUUGAGUGGAUUAUUAGGACUUUUUUUAAAAAAAAAAAAAGUAUAAUUUUGCUUCCAAAAUCAAACAAGAUGAUUAAUCUUUCAUUAUCUUCUUAUUAAUAAUAUAUAUGUUCGAUGGUGGCUUGACUUUUAUGUCCUUUUUUUUUCCUUUUUUCAUUUUCUUUUUGUGUUUAGCACAACUAAUUAAAAUUUUCUCCAUCUCAAAUUAUCUAUCGUAAAUACGUAAAUACAUAAAAAUAGUUAUCUUAAAUUAUUUACAGUCUUAAAAAUUUAAGAUAAAACUAAGCAUUUUUUUCCGUCUUUAACCAUAGUAAUAAUGAUUGUUACUAAGAUUAUAGAAAAUGGAUAUCUAAAAUGUUGAAUUACUUUUAAAAAAACAAACUUUUUUGUUGUUAUUAUUAAGGGUAUGGGAUCCAUGUCAGCUAAGUAUGGAAUUUUUUUUUGUUUAUAGAAAAAAAACAUACAUACAUGUUACCACAUGACAAAAAGAAAAAGUAAAAUGUUUAUUUUUGCAGCUUUUGUUAUAAAAGAAGUACUAUUGAAGAAAAAAUGCAUGGUAAAUCUUUAAAAAGUUUAUAUUCGAUUCAAUAUUUAUCCUCAAAACAACUCAUGUUAUGUCAAAUUAAAGUUUAAAUGUCUUUGCUAUAAUAUGCUUAGGUGAAAUUGCAUGUGAUGAUGAAUAAAGUUGUGCCUCUCUAAUUUUAAUUAUCAAUUAGGAUAAUAAUAAAACAUUUAAUAUUUUUAGCAUCAGAAUGUGUAACGACCUGUUUAGUCGUUUUGGGCAGCAGACUUCAAUUCUGAAAAAAUUGGCAGAAGCGACGGAUCCCACGACGGACCGUCAUGGGCACGACGGACCGUCGCAGGGUCUCGUUUCAAAACACUUAGAAAAUCUGAAAUUGGGUACUGAAAAUCGACUCUCUGAACUUCGUGACGGAAUGGCAGGACGGACCGUCACAGACUCUUCAGAGAAAUUGAGUCUCUGAACUCUGUGACGGGCAGCAGGACGGACCGUCGCAGGCACGACGGGCCGUCACAGGCUGCGUAAUCCCAGUUCGGGUCGGAUUUCUUUAUACGUUUAAGGGACGUUUUUUACUAUUCCUGCCUUAAUUAUAAAGUUAGUGGGUUAAUGUUAAUAAGUCUAAUUACUUGGGGGUUAAAAGAGUUAACCUUAAGUUAAUUAGUGGGGUAUUAUUGCCAUCUUUUAUUCUUAAUUAUAUACUAAUUAGGGUAAAAGAAAGAGGGUUUGAAUAAAGAAAAUAGAAAGAACAAGAAGAGAGAGAGAGGGUCGAUCGAGAAGGGGAAACACAAAGCUUUGGAGAAAAUUGCUUGCUUGAUCACUAAUCUUCGGUGGAGGUAGGUUAUGGUUUUCAUGCUAUUCGUAGUAAACUCUUAAUAGCGAAUGAUAUGUGUUAGUAGUAUUGUAAACCCUUCUAUAUUGCUUAAUAUAUACUGUUUUCUAUUUUGAGUUGGCCGAUGAUAUCUACUCAGUACCCGUGUUUUGUACUGACCCCUACUUUUAUGUUUUCUUCUUUGUUAAUUGUGGAGUGCAGCAAACGUGCCAUCGUCUUCAACUCAACCGCAACUCUAGCCAGUUUUCGUCACAUCGGAUCUUCAGGGUGAGCUAAUGCUUCUAGCUUGGACUGGAUCUUCUUCCUCAUGUCUUGAUGCCUUGAAGUUCCGGCAUGGACUAGCUUUUACUUGUUUUAGUUUUUAGAAUACUCUUAGUCUAGUAAUUUGAUCAUAGAUGUUCUUGUGAUGAUGACUUCCAGAUUUUGGGAAAUAAUAGAUGUUGAAUUUUAAAAGUUAAUGGAUUGGUUUUAUUUAAUGAGUUUGAGUCUUCCGCAUUAUUUACUGUUGAUAUUACAUUGAAAUGUUAAGGUUUAGAUUGGUUGGUUCGCUCACAUAGGAGGGUAAGUGUGGGUGCCAGUCGCGGCCCGGAUUUGGGUAGUGACAGAAUGGUUUUUGUUGUAAUUUUCAUAAUAUUUUUUACGUAUAAAUUAGAUUUACGAUUCACUAGUGAAAGUACUAAAAUCAAAUAAAUUCAAU